rnacentral:pre_miRNA from 1 species
AUUUUUGGUAUUGGCAGUAAGAUUUUUGGUGGAAAAAAUACUUAACAACGAGAUCACUGAUUGGUCUUCAACUGAUGCAGUAAUCCUAUUGAACUACUUUGCUAUUGCGGUAACUAUAAUUGUUGUUGCAGUUCCCGAAGGAUUACCAUUGGCAGUGCCGCUGAG